GGAAGGCGGGGGACAUUUGGAGUGAUGGUGUUUGUCUUCCCAAGUCACCGUUACGUGUGAUGGAGCCCUGCUUUCCUGGAGAUGGCUGAACACCUGCCUGCCCAUGGGAGGUGGUGAGUGAAUUCCUUGUUUUGCUUUGCUUGUGUGCGCGGCUUUUGCUUUACCUGUUAAACUCUAUUUAUCGCAGCCCACGAGUCUUCUCGCUUUUCCCCUUCCAAUUCUCUCCCCCAUCCCACUGUGGGGGAAGUGAGCAAGUGGCUGUGUGGGGCUUAGUUGCCAACUGGGGUUAAAGCACAACAAUGCAGUAUAUUGAAAUUAAAAUGAACACAUGCAAUUUCAAACAGGAAUGUGAUAGUGGAUCCACUGUACAAGAAGUUGAAUUGCCAGCAAAAAAAUCAAACCCUAACUAAAGAGGGCAGAUAGAAAGAAGUAAGUACUUAUGACACUGGAUCUUUCUCCAGUUAUUCACCAGAAAGUUUUGUCCAGCAAUUCCUUGAUCAAUACAAACCUAGAAAAAUUUUAGAGAAAUUUAGACAUUUUCCCCCUGUAUUUCAAGUUACUUGGAUCUCUAUAUAUGCACAAAUAAUCUUAAAACACCAUUUCAGCACUGUUGGAUUCUCUUCAGGGUCACUAGUAUAAUUCCAGAGAUUUUUCCAAUUGAGUCUACAUUUUUUGUUCUAUGCUCCUACCAAUGAGGGCUAGAGUUUGAUGUCAGUUAUAACUGCAUGAACUGACAGCCCUGAAAUUGUUGCCCGCUCAUGACAGCUACACUAAUUCACAGUCAAAAUGAGAUACUUGGAAGGGCUUGUCUCACUUUGGCCUCAAGAAAUUUGGAUCCAAUUUCCACUACCCUCAGAAAGAAUAAAGGAUUGACUUUGCUUCAUCAUGGAAAUGUCCUCUUAAUCACGAAAAAGGAACAAAUUAGCACUGCCAUCAGUUUUUUCUCUUCUCCUUUGCAUACUCACAAAAGCUUCUGUGGUGCAUGGCUAACGUGUUCUAGCAGAGUUUAAAAUUUUGUAAUCAAAUAAGAACUGUACCUGUCAAACAUUUUUAAUAUAUACAGCCAAAUACGGUUUUAGUACAAUUGUCCUAAAUUUGUGAACACCCAACACUAGUUCCUGAGGCAUCAACAGCCUCCCUUCACCUAGAACAAGUAAGGUAACUAAUGUUGAUAUCCAAGUAAAAAUUUCAGCUGCUGCUCGUUCCUCUGCAACAAGACACACACAAAAGAGAUCAAGGUAGUACUGUGCAAACAAUCAGUCUUUGGGAUAGCUCUUGCCAGUAAUUGCCUGGAAAAGACUAAAAGACGUCACAUUCCCAUUGCCAAGGGUUGCCCCCUUUCUUUCUGAGAAGCCAUGUGAUUGCUUACAAGUUUGCAUAGAUCUAAAACUAGUGAACUAUGGAAGGCACUUCUAAAAGCCGUAACACCUCAUUUUAGUCAAGACCUUUUCUUCUAACUGCGGAAGUUUUCCCACAUCAAUAGGUGCCACUCGUCACACCCCACUCCUCUUCACUUGCUCACAGAAACUUCAGAAAGAGCAGUAUGAUCAUCUCUUUGCUAACUAAUGUGAGUUUUAACUGAAAGACACAUUUAACUUGAGCACUGUGUAUUUUAUGUGCAGUAGUCCUAGUCUGGAAAAUGAACUACUUAAUUCCUACAAAUCCCUAUGAAAGAACAAUAAAACUAGUGGUUGCUGCUCUCUGGCUAAGAUCAGUUUGAAAGCAUGUUCAUGCAGGUGGGUGGAGGAGAGCAGCAUACUCUCAUCUCAGAAUCGCAGAACAUAGUUAGGUUGAAAGGCACCUCUGGAGAUCAUCUAGGCCAACUUCUGCUUAUAGCAGAGCUAACUUCCGAGUUAGAGGCGGCUGCACAGUCCUCUUGCAGUUGUGGAAAUCUCCAACAGAGAUUCCACAACCUCUCCAUGCAGCCUGUUCCAUGCAUAACUAGUCUCAUGGUUUUUUUCUAUCUAAUCACAAUUUCCUGUAAUGCAUGCAGCAUGUGACCUCAGGAGGGGCUGGCACCAUUCUACUUUUUUUUUUCUCCACCUCCCUCCCCUUUUUUUAACGAUGUGUCCAAAAGGAAGAGGGGAGUAACCACCACCCAAGCUGUUGGCUAUGCUCUUCCUUACGCAGGCCAGCAAGAAGCAAAGCCUUCGUUACUGCAAAAACACACUGCUGACUUAUGUUGAGUUGGCUCUCAACUUCCCCAGCUCCUUUUCUGCAGAGCUACACCCCAGGCCACCCAUCCCGAGACUGUACCACUGCAGGAACUGCUCCACCCCGGGUGCACAAGUUUGCAUUUGCCUUUUCUGAACUUCUUGACAUUUCUGUUAGCCCAUUCCUCUGUGUUGAGGUCCCUCUGAACAGCAGCCCUGCCCUCCAAUAUAUGAACACUCCCUAAAUUUGGCAUCAUCCCCCAAAAUGACAAAAUGUGUAUUCUGUUCCAAUGUCCAUGUCACUGAUGAAGGCGUUGAACAGUGUCAGUCUCCAAGGAAUAUCACUUGCACCUGGCUGCCACUCAGACUAGCUAUCAACCCUUUGAGCCCAACAGUCCAGUCACUUUUUCACCCACCUGGCAGUCUACCUGUCCAGGUCACAUCUCUCCAGUUUGGCUGUAAGUAUACUGUGGGAGGUUGUGUUGAAAGCCUUACUAAGGUCAUGGUAAAACAAUAAGCCCUUACUCUCUCCCUGUUCACAGCGCUACCCAUCUCAAACAGAGAAAUUAUCUGGUUGGUAGAAAAACUAUUUGCCCUUGUGAACCUACAAUAGCUGCUCCUGAUCACUUCUUGCCCUCCAUGUGCUUGAAAAUGGAGUCCCUAAGGACACGCUUCACAAUCAUCCCAGGGACCGAGGUGAAGCUGACUGCCCUGUGCUCCCACAGAUCCUCCUCGAUUUUUCUGAAGACAGUUGGAGCAUUUGUCUUUCCAAUUAUUAAGCACCCCUCCCAGUGAUUAUAACCUUUCAAAGGAUGAUAGAAAGCAGCCUUGAAAUAACAUCAAUCAACUUCCUCAGUACACUUAGAAUAUUUCCUGUCAGGCCCCACAGAUCUGUAUAUGCUCAGUUUAAGUAGUCCAUAACUAAGUUUUCCUCUACAAUGGACAGAUGCUAAAUAAAUCCAGACACUCCAGAUUUAAGAAGCAGCAGCAUAAAAUGAGACAUAGGUGACUGCAGAAGUGAGGUCAUUCUGAAAGGGGAUGCAGAGCAUCCCUUCCCUGUUAAUAAAAUUAUAACAUUAUGCUAUGGUAGUAUUUCCAAGCUACCAAAUUGGAAAAAUUGGAGACAGUUUUUAAAUUGGAAAACCACUGCUUGAGGAACUCUCUUACAGCCAACUUGACAGCUGCAAGGAAAUUUAUCCUAGAACUCAAUAGCUGUUGUGGUGAUCACAUGCUUAUGAGUGUGUCAUGCACUAACAGAGAAACAUCAAUAAAACACAAAGUACUUGGAAAGGAACAACUACAGAAACCUGAAGUUAGUCACUCCAGAAAGAAAUUAUUCAAAAGGAAACUAUGAUAACAUGAAACUUUUUUUUUUUUUAAAUGAAAAAAAGCAAACUAGGAGACACAAAUCAAAAAUGAAAGAUGAACACUGAUUAAAGAGGGACCCUCCCCAGCUGUAGCCAGAUUAAAAGGAAAGUGAAUAUGCUUACAAAUAUAUUCAUAGUAACACACACACACACACAGAGGGCACAAAAAUGUAAAAAGAAAAGGAUAUACAUUCAGUAGAAAACUAAUUUUGGAGAGUACAAAACGUGACAUAAAUAUCAUGACAGCAAAGUGAUAAAAUCAGUGUAAGACAAAAGCUUCAUGGAACAUUUAUGCCACUGCAUUGCUUAGUAAACUGGGCACAAUCAGCUGUCUGUGUGAAUGCAUCUGAACAGGGAAGCACACUCUGCAGAACAGUAAGCAGAGGCUAUGCUUGCAGGAUGGGACUUUACCCUUGGCAGAAGGACCCCAGAGACCUGCGAUAACGGCUGUGAAUUUUGGAGCAAGAGCUCCACACCAGCACACUGAUGACAAUACUUAGCGCAAUGUCUGAACGUACCAAGAAAGUCACAUUCAGUGGAAGGAAUGAGAUUGCGUUUAGUUUGAUGUUUGACACUGGUAAUCACUGCUGGAAUACUCUGCCCAUCUCUGGUGCACCAUUCCCAACUCACGCUCAAGUGUUGCUGCUUAGAGACGCAAGACCAACUGGCGUACAGCAAGAGGCAAAAACAGUUACCUAGCUUACAAGAGCAAUACCCUGUGAUUGCAUACAAUAAGAACUGAAUCCCGGUAAUACAGACACAACCACAACCAGGGACCGGAAACCAGGAAAAUUAAAGUAGGUAUAUAGUGCACUGAAAAAGAGCAAAGGCAAUUAUCAAUUAAAUACACCAGACAACUUCUCAUGUUACAGGUGAUUCUUGAGGGGGAACCAUAAAUGAUUUUUCUUCUAAAAGAUACACUUUAAUUAGGAGGUCCCAAACUGACAUCAUCACCACCACAAUUUCUGUUGAUAUGGCAGCAAUAUCAGACUUUGAUGGCAGAGGCAAACCACUUUUCCAUAUAUUAAUGUCUUCAGGUCAGCAUGGAAGAGUGAUCCUUCAGCCUCAGGACCAUCUUAAAUCAUCAUCCCUUUAUGGAAAGCCCUGCGUAAGUGCACAGAAGCAUCAUGUAGGUAUUGACUCCAGCUAGUUGUACUGCAAGUUCUUCCAGAUCUCAGCUUCAACCAUAUUAACUACUGGGUGUUAUGCACUAGAUACUAACAGGAGUCACAACCAAGCAACAUGUUGCUCUACAAAAGGAAACCCCACAGAAACAGUAACAAAAACCAAACCAAAACUCACCCAACUCCCCAGACCAAACCAAAAUAAUCAAUUGGGCAGGAAGCUAAGAUUGAAAAAGAGAAGCAAGGCUCAACUCCUGUUCCUUUUCCUCCUUGAACAUCUGCCUGUUCUCAAAAAGAAACUUCCAAAAAAACGGAUACCCUCUCAGCAGCAUGAUCCCAGUGCAAUGUCUUUUACGUCAACAUCAACGCAAAUUAUACAUUCAUAAACCAAGCCUGUCUGCUGAAUUUAUAUUGUAGAUAAUCAAUGAGAUUUAAUUCUUGACUGAGGAACUAGUCAAUGCUAAAAUGAGUAAACUAUUUGUUAGGACAUGUGCUUAUAAACAAAGAAAUUCUGCGUUACUCUAUCUGUCCCAGGGCAAGGCAUUUUCCUCUGCAAGACCUUGAGGAUAUCUGUGACAUAAUUACUGACCUACUACUACUCAAAAUCCACUAGGGUGGAUAAUCUACAUACCAUUUAAGCAUAAAUCCAUGUAGCAAGAGCAUGCACAGACUUACCCUCUAAUACUGUAAGCUAUACCCAUUGCAAGACUCCUCAGCAAAAGAAUCAAUCUCUUUAUUGGUGUCCAAAAGCAUGGGUGCCUCUCUGCUCAGCUGAACCCGACAAGAAGCUGCCCUAGACUGAGUAAUCUAUUAUAUAAGGCAACUCAAGAUGCCCAUCUCCCCCGUUACGUGCUAAAGUGAGUGCUGCUGUGAUCAAGCAUAGUCACUGAUUAACUCAGCUGCGUUGUGUGGGUCAUGGGGUGACACACGCCAGGACACUCUUGGCACCCGGGAAGCCACGUAGGAAGAGAGAAGACCUACAGCAGCCACAAAAGGCAAACAAGACUUAAGACUAUUGACAGCCUUUAUAAAGAAUAUCAGCCCAACAGUCUCCUCUCUCUAUUAAUAACGUUUCCAGAGGCUUCCAUUAAAAAAAAGAAAAAAAAAAUACAGCUUUAAAAGAUAAUUAUGCCUCCCCCCAGCACAGCUUUCCCACAGCCUGCCAAGGGCAGAAAAGCAGCAGCAGUCUGCAGAUAGAUGAGCAGCUCUGCUGGGAGCAGUGGGCUACGGGGCCCAGGUUGAAAAUGGACCCAUUUUCACAACUGAUGACAGAAGUUGUUUUAACUGGAAACACUAAGAAACCAUGGGAAAAUGUAAUUAAGUGCAAAUCAGAGGAAGACUUAACUUAUACAGUGAUUAUAGACAUGCACACCUACUUUUCACAAUCUCAAUCCAGGUUUGGUUUGGUUGUUGUUGGUGGUUUUUUUUUAAUUACUACAGAACAUUAAGAUGCUACACAAGCUACUGUGACUGCACUGGACAGAAAGUGUUUUAUUUAUACUGCUUUAGGGCUAAUGAGAUGAGAGUGGUAUUCUUGAUAUUUUCAUACAUGACUAUAAAUUGCAUUCCAAAUGUUUUUAAUCUUAGUAAAUUAUUUUGAUAUAUUGUACCAAAAAUACAUUGCAAAACUAUCCCAAACGACCUACUGUCCAUGGCAUUCUCAAGAUGCAACACUGAUAAUUAUAUACUAUGCAAUACUGGUGCAAGAAAAUCACCAGAGGGUAGGAAGCGAUGCAUUUUACUUUGAGAAGGCAUGCGAGAGUUUGGAGAAAACACCGACUUGGUAGGCAAAGACAUGUCUUGCAUUAAUAUGAAGGAGUGGGUCUUGCAUUUAAUUUUUGCCCCAAGUUCUACAUGAUCUUUUAUGCACCUCUGCAGUGUUGAAACAGGCACGCGUGAAUAGCACCAAAAUGACCCAAUCUUAUACUACAUUCACUACUAAUUUUGAUCAAGAUCUGAACAGCAGUCCCGAGAGCAAAGAUCUGGCCUGUCAGCCAGCACAGCCAAGCGCUGCUGCAACAGCUCACUGCAGAAAUUACUCCUUCCUCAUUCUAAAAACUGAAGUAUAAACCAGUUGUCCACACUUCAGUCUAUACAUGGGUUAGGUCCCCUCACUAUUCAGAAAAUGACAAGCAGAGAAGCUGUUUUCCAAGUUUGUGAUAAGAAGCUUAAUAGAUUUACCUGUUGCACAGAGCAACAGUCAGAGACGACCUCAGUUCAGCUCAGCAGCUUUAUUCAACAUUAGAUACACUAUCCCCAAAGCAGCUAACUGACCUUGUGUUAUAUUACAGCAUCAUUCCAAAUCCUUGAAGUAUUUACUCAUGCUUCAACCUAGAAUUUUCUGAACCCGCCCUUUUGCAAUCCCUGAGGAGCCAAGGACUGGGUUCAGCAGUUAGCAAGCAAAACAAAAGCUAUCUUCAGCUACGCUCCCGAUGGACACAUUCCAGCUGGAUUAAACCUCUUUCCCUCCUCCCCUGGGUCAGCAACUUCCACACUACUGGUCUGCUCAAAACACUCUUUUCUAAAAUACAGGAAAUAAACACUUAAAUCAACACACAUGCUACAAAUCUGAAAAUAACAUUAAAUAUUCUGAAAAAUUAUUACAAAAAAGAAAAACAUUGCCUGCGUCUUAAAGAGACACCUCUGAGAUUGAUCACCAGUUCAGAUUCUUCCUUCCUGGUAUCUAAUUCACCACAAGUGUGAUCACUGAUUUCCCUAUUUUGGUUCAUCAACAGACUGGAGAGUUGCUCUAGCUGCCUUCUAGCAAAAGAAGGACCAGGGAUUUGAUUCCUCACAGCCAGUGAAAAUUCUUGGGUGAUUCAUGUGGAAAAAUCACAGGCCUUUAUUUUUUUUCCUUCUAUAGUACUAUUUAUGCAUACAUACACACCUACAGGCACAUAAAACAUUUAAUGGAUUUUAUCAUGAAGGAAGGGACUUUUUUUAUGGGCCUGAAGGCUGAAACAGCCACACCCAUUCAGUUAGGAGUUUCUCCCUUUUCCACAUCAUGCCCUUUGCUCAUGUGAAAUACCUAUUUUUUAGCACUGGCACCUUAGUGGAUUCCUCACCUCUCUUGUCACUGCUCCCUUUUUCCCCUCUCCCUCACCUGCUAGACUACAGCCAAAACCCAGAUAAUCCCCCAGUGCUUUUAUCAUAUGUUAGCUGCACUUACAUCCCUCUCUUCAUCUUCCAAAUGGCACCUGAUCCCUUCUUCCUUCCCACUGGGAGCCAUGUUAGAUCAGCAACAAACACUGCUUUCUCUCUGGCAUGGCACCCCUCUCCCCAUCUUAGCAUCCUUGCUGCAUUUCACACCUUGGACCAUGUAGGGAAAGUCAGAUUCAACUCCAGAAAGCACUAGACAUU